rnacentral:rRNA from 1 species
GACGAACGCUGGCGGCGUGCUUAACACAUGCAAGUCGAACGGAGAGGCCCUGCUUUUGUGGGGUGCUCGAGUGGCGAACGGGUGAGUAACACGUGAGUAACCUGCCCUUGACUUUGGGAUAACUUCAGGAAACUGGGGCUAAUACCGGAUAGGAGCUCCUGCUGCAUGGUGGGGUUGGAAAGUUUCGGCGGUUGGGGAUGGACUCGCGGCUUAUCAGCUUGUUGGUGGGGUAGUGGCUUACCAAGGCUUUGACGGGUAGCCGGCCUGAGAGGGUGACCGGCCACAUUGGGACUGAGAUACGGCCCAGACUCCUACGGGAGGCAGCAGUGGGGAAUAUUGCACAAUGGGCGGAAGCCUGAUGCAGCAACGCCGCGUGCGGGAUGACGGCCUUCGGGUUGUAAACCGCUUUCGCCUGUGACGAAGCGUGAGUGACGGUAAUGGGUAAAGAAGCACCGGCUAACUACGUG